AUUGAACGCUGGCGGCAUGCCUUACACAUGCAAGUCGAACGGCAGCACGGGAGCAAUCCUGGUGGCGAGUGGCGAACGGGUGAGUAAUAUAUCGGAACGUGCCCGGUCGUGGGGAUAACGUAGCGAAAGCUACGCUAAUACCGCAUACGAUCUACGGAUGAAAGCGGGGGAUCGCAAGACCUCGCGCGAUUGGAGCGGCCGAUAUCAGAUUAGGUAGUUGGUGAGGUAAAGGCUCACCAAGCCGACGAUCUGUAGCUGGUCUGAGAGGACGACCAGCCCCACUGGGACUGAGACACGGCCCAGACUCCUACGGGAGGCAGCAGUGGGGAAUUUUGGACAAUGGGCGAAAGCCUGAUCCAGCAAUGCCGCGUGCAGGAAGAAGGCCUUCGGUGUAACUGCUUUGUUACGGAACG
rnacentral:rRNA from 1 species